GUGUGUGUGUGUGUGUGUGUGUGUGUGUGUGUGUGUGUGUGUGUGUGUGUGUGUGUGUGUGUGUGUGUGUGUGUGUGUGUGUGUGUGUGUGUGUGUGUGUGUGUGUGAAUUUACGCAACCCCGAGUUGCCCCACGAGGACUUGGCAGCAAAUGAAGUACAAAAAUAUAGUUUAAACAGGUAAACUAAUGUUUAAUUGAAAUCAAAUCAAUUGUGCUGUUUUGCCUGCUCUACCUAAUUUAACAGCUAUGUUCAACAUGUAUUAGGCUAUAUAUUUGUAUACUAUAUUUAAGCAGUAAAUGUAAGUAGUAGGCCUACAUUUCCCAGCCACCCCCACACUGCCAAUAUUUAAUAGGAUUUAGAUAUAUUAGAAGGCUACACCUAGGCAAAAUGCAUUAUAAAUAUAUAUGUGUCUUCAAAAUAGCGCUUACUGAAUAUUAGGGUAACAUUUUCCUCCAUGUUAGCAAAUCGAAAAAAUGCAGAGGCCCGACAGACUGGAGGGGGUCCACCACCUGCAGCCCUCACAGAGGCUGAGGAGAUGGCCCUCAGCCAACAGAGUAUGGGUCCUGUGGCUGAGGGCAUCCCUGGGGGGAGCUCCUCUGAUCCCCCCCACCCCCCAGGAUAGAAGUGCCUUUACAGUAUAAGAGUUACUGAUGGCGUCAUCGCCCUACUUGAACCAGAUGCCCUCACCAACCUCCAUGCAAUUGUAACAAUUCAAAAGAUGCAAAAGGAUGCUUCGGAGAUCCAAAUUUUGGAACAUAAGUUAUAGGUGGGUGAGGUGCAAACUGGGAUAGGCUACUGUUCCCUGCUCUAAAAACAUACCCAAUAUAAAUGACUUUUUUUUUUUUGUGCUUUCAGGAAAUAAAAAAAUCCUCAUAAUAAGUAGAUUGUCUUUAUUAGAACACGGGCUGUGGUGGGACAAGUUAUUUUGUUGAACAGUUUACUCAAAGGGUUUUACUUCAGUGAACAAUGCAGACGAUUAUGCUGAGCAUGUGCAUGUAGAGAAGAACAGCAUCUGGUUAAAAGCAGUACCAGGGUCUUUUCUGCCUUGCAUUCUUAAAAUGAGUUUCUUGACUUGCAGCAGUUAUAGGUCCGUGGUUAGUCAGCUACUCUGAUCAUGGGAAAGCCACAACGUUGAAGUGACUGUAGUACAGAGCAGGUGGGAUGCACGGGGCGGAUCAUUCUGCACAUGCGUUAAUUGCGAUAAAAAAUUAAAAAAAUAAACUUAAAGCAUGCCCCCGGUGCGUUUGACAGUUAACAUGGGGGCUGAGAAGGUGGUCUAAAUAAAUGAUAGAUUGCGCUGAAAAACGAUAGCGCUCGUGAAGAAAAUUAUCAGGAAAAUAAAGUAUAUCCAACCGGGGUCUUAAUAAUCGUUCCUCACGGAGAUUCCUUCUGAGGAUCGCAGCCUCUACGUCCACAGGCUCUCGUAGAAAAGG